rnacentral:miRNA from 14 species
AACAUGUCCUUGCCCUCUCUGUUGGUGUCAGAGACCUACACGUACAGUGAUGGCACUGACAUGAUAG